GGGCCCUGAGGAGGUUUGGGAGCUGCUGCGUGGAGCUUGCACUGCCCUAUCCCAUUGCCACCUCCCAGAGAGAGGAUGGAGAUGGGAUGGAGAUGGGAUGGAGAUGGGAUGGAGAUGGCCCCCCAGCAUGAGCAUCCCUGUGCGGAGGCUGGGUCUGGAUGCAGGCAGCGGGGAC